rnacentral:lncRNA from 1 species
UCAGACUUCUAAAGAGCUUAAUUUACUCAUUUUAUCGCUGGUAAUCUUGGUAAAAUCAGUGUUUAUAUCAUUUGUGUAAAUAUUGAUGGUUGUUAACAUUUUCUGAAACAAUUGCUGAUAUGAAAGACUAUUAAAAGUCCUGUUUCAAAAAUUGAGAUAAAGAUUUUGGAAAACAUAGAUACAUGUACAUCAUCGCUUAGCACUUUGAGAAAGAGAUAAUAAUAGAAUCAUAUUUACCCCAAACUAAUUCAUGGGUGAUUGAUGAAAACAUCAACCAUUGUUUCAUUUCAUAAAGCAACACUGGGUGAGCACUAAAUAGACGGAACCAAAUGAUGUGAGGUUCAUGAUGGGUUCAUCGUUUCCAUUCAGUUUACACACCAUACGAAGAGGAAAAAGAAGUUAUUAAAAAAGUACAAGCGAUGCCGUCAGUUGGAUAUAAAGAAACGAGAGCUAGUACGUAUUACCACACCACCACAAUUUAACCCGAUUAGGCAAACAUCAAGAGUCCUGCAAAGACCGAAUCAAUCGGUACAUGUCUCGCUGAAAAACUUUAUAGUUGAAUGUUGUCUCCAUUUCUUGUGAUAUGAGUUUCAAGUUUUGAUCUUUUUUAAAAUCGUCAUCAAUCAUUUCAUCAUUUCAUCUUUUUGUUUGUUUGUUUGUUUUUUUAAUUUUUAAACAAUAUCGAACUUUAAUUACUGGAGUUCAGCCGACUGGAGAUGUAAAAGUCUUUAUCGUUUUUUGUUGACAAUCAUACUCGAAAAAAAAGAAAUCAAAUCAGAAUUGAACACGAAGUAUGACCCGAAUUGCUCUAGUACACGUGAUGUCGUCAUGGCAAGAAAUUUUGGUGAUGUGGGUCUACUAAUCCAAUAAUAGCGACUUCCUUACUUAUUAAGAGACUUGGUGGUAGUUUAAUUUGCAAAGUUUUGAAUAAAUAAAAAAAAAUCGUCACAGUUUACAAAUUCGGUAAUUUGUUUUCCGUGGAAGAAAAGCAUUCCGGAUGAGAAUAGGAUCCAAUUGAAUAGAAGAUUGAAGAAAAUGGAACCGGCGAUUGAGAAAGACUACAAGAUGAAAAGCCAGAGACAAUGAUUAUAGCCCAAAGGAAGCUAAGAUACACUAAGUUAUACGAAAAGCACGAUAGCUUAUUCAUAAACAAUCCAAUUUCGAAAAUUGUGUUGUGCCAGUUACAAAUUACAGCAAUCGGUGAUAAAAAUCAAAGCUGACUUUGUUAUUGGCCGUAUCUUUUCGAAACUUUGAUUCUACUGCUUAUGGAACCGUUCUUUAAUUUGAUUGUGUUUGGGAGAAGAAACUGUAUGAUAGUAGUGUGUGCAGACACGCAAGAUGAAUGAAAUACUUCGAAAGGAAUGUUUAUGUAAAUACUUGUGGAGACUCAGUUUAACUCCAGCAUUUUUUCAACUAUCCCAAUAAUCCCAUUAUUUCUAUUUCUGCCUCACGUUUCUAUUAGCAUAGUAUGGUUGGAAUUUUGAGUUACUUCUUUGUAGCAUUCUUUAAGGAUUCAUUUUUACAAACCACCUAAUCAUUGUGUACAAGUUAUACUUAGGUAAUCAUAUGCAUGCUCCGUUGCUUAUCUCGUUACCAAAAAUCUGUAAACUAACACUUUUACAAUAGUCAAUUAAGAUAUUCGGGUUUUUUAGAUGCAGCUUCUGUAUAGUUUUCUUACUCAAAGCGCAUUAUUUUUCUACGGAUAGAUUUUAAGGAGCAAAAACAGUAUCAUCAGCUUUUAUCAGUCAUGUCGAAUGUGAGGAUUCUUCAUGCUACGUUAAAGAAACGAGUCGAAAAGGAAGUGCGGUUGACAACGACUAUUUAAAUGCUAAGGAAAUAAAAAUGUAGUAAGUUUUUAAAGUUACCGAUGGAAACGUAGUAUUACGUAUAUGGAAUCUUGCAUCAUUAUGGAACCGUCAAGUUACGGAAUGUAAAUUUCCUACGCUUG